AGAGUUUGAUCCUGGCUCAGAACGAACGCUGGCGGCAUGCCUAACACAUGCAAGUCGAACGAAGCCUUCGGGCUUAGUGGCGCACGGGUGCGUAACGCGUGGGAAUCUGCCCUUGGGUUCGGAAUAACAGUUAGAAAUGACUGCUAAUACCGAAUGAUGUCUUCGGACCAAAGAUUUAUCGCCCAAGGAUGAGCCCGCGUCGGAUUAGCUAGUUGGUGAGGUAAAGGCUCACCAAGGCGACGAUCCGUAGCUGGUCUGAGAGGAUGAUCAGCCACACUGGGACUGAGACACGGCCCAGACUCCUACGGGAGGCAGCAGUGGGGAAUAUUGGGCAAUGGGCGAAAGCCUGAUCCAGCAAUGCCGCGUGAGUGAUGAAGGCCUUAGGGUUGUAAAGCUCUUUUACCCGGGAUGAUAAUGACAGUACCGGGAGAAUAAGCCCCGGCUAACUCCGUG
rnacentral:rRNA from 1 species